rnacentral:rRNA from 1 species
GAUGAACGCUGGCGGCGUGCUUAACACAUGCAAGUCGAACGGAAAGGCCCAAGCUUGCUUGGGUACUCGAGUGGCGAACGGGUGAGUAACACGUGGGUGAUCUGCCCUGCACUUCGGGAUAAGCCUGGGAAACUGGGUCUAAUACUGGAUAGGACCACUUCUUGGAUGUUGUGGUGGAAAGUUUUUUCAGUGUGGGAUGAGCUCGCGGCCUAUCAGCUUGUUGGUGGGGUAAUGGCCUACCAAGGCGUCGACGGGUAGCCGGCCUGAGAGGGUGUACGGCCACAUUGGGACUGAGAUACGGCCCAGACUCCUACGGGAGGCAGCAGUGGGGAAUAUUGCACAAUGGGCGCAAGCCUGAUGCAGCGACGCCGCGUGGGGGAUGACGGCCUUCGGGUUGUAAACUCCUUUCGCUAGGGACGAAGCGUUUUGUGACGGUACCUGGAGAAGAAGCACCGGCUAACUACGUG